GAUGAACGCUAGCUACAGGCUUAACACAUGCAAGUCGAGGGGAAACGGGCGCCAAGCUUGCUUGGCGCAGUCGUCGACCGGCGAAUGGGUGAGUAACGCGUAUCCAACCUGGCUUCAAGCAGGGAACAGGCUUUCGAAAGAAAGAUUAAUACCCUAUGUGGUCCUCGGAAGACAUCAGAGGAGGACGAAAGAUUCAUCGCUUGAAGAUGGGGAUGCGUCUGAUUAGGCAGUUGGCGGGACAAGGGCCCACCAAACCGACGAUCAGUAGGGGUUCUGAGAGGAAGGUCCCCCACAUUGGAACUGAGACACGGUCCAAACUCCUACGGGAGGCAGCAGUGAGGAAUAUUGGUCAAUGGACGGAAGUCUGAACCAGCCAAGUAGCGUGCAGGAUGACGGCCCUAUGGGUUGUAAACUGCUUUUAUGCGGGGGUAAAGUGAGUGACGUGUCAUUCAUUGCAAGUACCGCAAGAAUAAGGACCGGCUAAUUCCGUGCCAGCAGCCGCGGUAAUACGGAAGGUCCUGGUGUUAUCCGGAUUUAUUGGGUUUAAAGGGAGCGUAGGCCGUCAGGCAAGCGUGUUGUGAAAUGUCGUGGCUCAACCAUGGACUUGCAGCGCGAACUGCCCGACUUGAGUGCGCAGAAAGCAGGCGGAAUUUGUGGUGUAGCGGUGAAAUGCUUAGAUAUCACGAAGAACCCCGAUUGCGAAGGCAGCCUGCUGUAGCGCUACUGACGCUGAAGCUCGAAAGUGCGGGUAUCGAACAGGAUUAGAUACCCUGGGUAGUCCGCACGGUAAACGAUGGAUGCCCGCUGUUCGGUUUACGGACCGAGCGGCUAAGUGAAAACGUUAAGCAUCCCACCUGGGGAGUACGCCGGCAACGGUGAAACUCAAAGGAAUUGACGGGG
rnacentral:rRNA from 1 species